GAUGAACGCUGGCGGCGUGCCUAAUACAUGCAAGUCGAGCGAACAGACGAGGAGCUUGCUCCUCUGACGUUAGCGGCGGACGGGUGAGUAACACGUGGAUAACCUACCUAUAAGACUGGGAUAACUUCGGGAAACCGGAGCUAAUACCGGAUAAUAUAUUGAACCGCAUGGUUCAAUAGUGAAAGACGGUUUUGCUGUCACUUAUAGAUGGAUCCGCGCCGCAUUAGCUAGUUGGUAAGGUAACGGCUUACCAAGGCAACGAUGCGUAGCCGACCUGAGAGGGUGAUCGGCCACACUGGAACUGAGACACGGUCCAGACUCCUACGGGAGGCAGCAGUAGGGAAUCUUCCGCAAUGGGCGAAAGCCUGACGGAGCAACGCCGCGUGAGUGAUGAAGGUCUUCGGAUCGUAAAACUCUGUUAUUAGGGAAGAACAAAUGUGUAAGUAACUAUGAACGUCUUGACGGUACCUAAUCAGAAAGCCACGGCUAACUA
rnacentral:rRNA from 1 species